UGGGGAAUAUUGCGCAAUGGGCGAAAGCCUGACGCAGCAACGCCGCGUGAGGGAUGACGGCCUUCGGGUUGUAAACCUCUUUCAGCAGGGACGAAGCGAAAGUGACUGUACCUGCAGAAGAAGCGCCGGCUAACUACGUGCCAGCAGCCGCGGUAAUACGUAGGGCGCAAGCGUUGUCCGGAUUUAUUGGGCGUAAAGAGUUCGUAGGCGGUCUGUCGCGUCGGAAGUGAAAACCCGGAGCUCAACUCCGGGCCUGCCUUCGAUACGGGCAGACUUGAGUGUUGCAGGGGAGACUGGAAUUCCUGGUGUAGCGGUGGAAUGUGCAGAUAUCAGGAGGAACACCGGUGGCGAAGGCGGGUCUCUGGGCAACAACUGACGCUGAGGAACGAAAGCGUGGGGAGCGAACAGGAUUAGAUACCCUGGUAGUUCCCGCUGUAAACGGUGGGCACCUAGGUGUGGGGACCAUUCCACGGUCUCUGCGCCGCAGCUAACGCAUUAAGUGCCCCGCCUGGGGAGUACGGCCGCAAGGCUA
rnacentral:rRNA from 1 species